GAUGAACGCUAGCGGCAGGCUUAAUACAUGCAAGUCGAGGGGCAGCAGGUCUGUAGCAAUACAGAUGCUGGCGACCGGCAAACGGGUGCGGAACACGUACAGAACCUUCCUUCGAGCGGGGAAUAGCCCAGAGAAAUUUGGAUUAAUACCCCAUAGUACAUUGAAGAGGCAUCUCUUUAAUAUUAAAGAUUUAUCACUUGAAGAUGGCUGUGCGGCUGAUUAGGUAGUUGGCGGGGUAACGGCCCACCAAGCCUACGAUCAGUAACUGGUGUGAGAGCACGACCAGUCACACGGGCACUGAGACACGGGCCCGACUCCUACGGGAGGCAGCAGUAAGGAAUAUUGGUCAAUGGACGCAAGUCUGAACCAGCCAUGCCGCGUGGAGGAUGAAGGUCCUCUGGAUUGUAAACUUCUUUUAUAUGGGACGAAAAAGGCUUUCUAAGUCGUCUGACGGUACCAUAUGAAUAAGCACCGGCUAACUCCGUGCCAGCCGCC
rnacentral:rRNA from 1 species